rnacentral:rRNA from 1 species
CACGUAGGGGGCGAGCGUUGUCCGGAUUUAUUGGGCGUAAAGAGCUCGUAGGCGGCUCGGUAAGUCAGGUGUGAAAACUCUAGGCUCAACCUAGAGACGCCACCUGAUACUGCUGUGGCUAGAGUCCGGUAGGGGAGCAUGGAAUUCCUGGUGUAGCGGUGAAAUGCGCAGAUAUCAGGAGGAACACCAGUGGCGAAGGCGGUGCUCUGGGCCGGAACUGACGCUGAGGAGCGAAAGCGUGGGGAGCAAACAGG